GUUUUUGGCUUCUUGUUCCUUUGCUCCACCCGUCCCUGUGUGCUGAGGCACAACAGUCCACUGGAGUGGGAGUUUCCAAAUCAGAUGUGUCAGCUUUUCCUAACAACUCGCAGAGUGAUUAAAGAAUUUUAAAGCAAGUAAUUUCACUGUGACUCCCCUAGGUUAUGAGCAGCCCAAGAGGAGGAACAAUGGUAGCUCCAGAAGUUCUAACAGGAAGAGGAAAGGGUCAGAGAUUUUAUUAAGAAAAGAAUUUUGGAGGAGUAAUCAGCGGAUUUGACUUGAAACAAUAGCUGCAGAAUAUGUUUAAUUUUGAAGAUCUACACUUUUAUUUCAGAGAAGUAUGGAGGGGCACAAUGAGUAAAUACAAAUGUUUGGUCCACUAUCUUGGAUCAGAAGGCUAGCCGAACAUCUUGGAUUCCACUGAGCUAAUUGACAUUGUAUAAUAAUGAAAAAAAUAAACAAAUUUCUCAAGACUCAAAAUAUCUAAGAAUGUAGGUCAAGAACAUUUAAGAGGGGGAAGAUGGGUGUAAAUAUCUGAGAACAUUCUGGGGAAAGGAGUUACAGUGAUGAACAAAGAAGACAUAUUUGAGAAGUGAAGAAUACAGACAAGUAAGCAGACAAAUACGAGACCGUGAUAAACCCUACCAUGAUCCAAUGAUCAGGUGCUAUGGGAACAUAAAGACAGACAUAUGCUUGGAACGAGGAGUCAGGAAAAUGUUCCCAGGGGAAAUGACAUCUCUGAAACCUAAAGGAUUUGAGAGGAACUCAUCAUGGCUGAGACAUCAUCUGUGAGGUGGAGAAUUGUGAGGCCUGAGGCAGGAGACAUAAGCAGAAAAAUUAUAAAGGAACAUCUGCCCCCACACUAGAGAGCUUGAACUUGACCAUGAGGGCAAAGAGAAGAGCAACUAAAGGGGUUGAGAUUGGGAUGCAACAAGGUCUGAUUUGCAUUUGAGAAAGAUCUCUCUUGCUAUAAUAUGUGGAAUGUGUUAAGAGAUGAAAACAACUGGGCACCUGGUGCUGGGAACUCAGAUAGGAGUCUGUGACCAUAACCCAGGAAAGCGGGGAGAAGGCCUUAGACUAAAAUAGUAGCAGUAGACUAGAGACAAGUGGAUAGAAUCAAUCUGGAGGGCAUGUCUGUGGCAGAGUCCACAAGGGUAGGAGGAAGGGCAUAAAGCUGUAGGCUAAAUGUGCUUUUCAGGAAUAAGAAAGAGCCUACUGCUGAGUUAAAACACCUCUUCAUAAUUACUUCCAAGGUACCCAAUCUCCUAUUCAAAACUGUGAUACUAUUUGUCCUUAAGGCUUGAUUAAAUUUUUAGUCAAUGUUUCUCAUCAUCCUGUUUCUGCCGAGGGUAAGGAAAAAUAUUUAUUAUUUUAUUGUUUCAAAUGCAUCAAUAUGUUGUGUUCCUCUAGUCAAAUAAUAGAAAGUGUUUAGUAACAGUACAAUAUUAUGCAAAGGUCUCUGGUUAAAGUAAGACCUUGGCUCAAAAAUGCUCACUAACUGCCCAAUACUGAGUAAAUCACUUCUUUUUCCUAAGUCUUAGUUUCCUCAUCAGUACAGGGAUGGUUAACAUAGGUUGAGUUUCUUUUCCAUAAUAUAAUUUAUUUUGAGUGCAAAAUUACAUACGUAAGUAGUUAAUAUGUAGCAGUUGUUUUAAAACUACUGUAUUUAAUUUUGGCUAAAAUCAGAAAUCAUUUGAGGUAAUCAUUAAUUUUUGCAAAUGAAGCUGCUAAAGCAC
rnacentral:lncRNA from 10 species